rnacentral:lncRNA from 1 species
AACUGGUGAUUUAUAAAAACCAAACAGCUGUGGUUAAUAUGAUAUUUGAUGGACAAAAUACAAAUCGUGAAACCUGGUUCUCUCAUGAAAAGCUGAAAAGUUCCCCAUGGAAUGAUUUAUCUUCAACCACCCCAUAUAUUUUCUCACUUCGGGGAUUUAGGAUAUGGAACUGGUGAUUCCAUGACCGUCUUCAUCCGCUUAAAAACCUAACUAACCAAUCAAAAGAUUUCCUGUAACUGACGUCCAUCUCUACAAGAUAUGGAGAAAACGAAACUGACUAAAACCUUGGGAUAUUGUCACCCGAUGUCUUUUUCAUUUACUGUAGUUACUUUUGAGAAGCACAUUUAAAGUAAGAAUGAUUCUUCAUUUGUUCUCUGAACACUUUUAAAGCUCGAUUUUCCAGAAAUAUUCAGGACCGAAUUAUUUUAUACCUUCCGACAUUGUAACAAGUCUAGUGGACAUCGCAGAUGGAGAAAUUUAUAGACUCCCUUUGUUGUUGUAUUUUAG